UACGUAGGGUCCGAGCGUUGUCCGGAAUUAUUGGGCGUAAAGGGCUCGUAGGCGGUUUGUCGCGUCGGGAGUGAAAACUCAGGGCUCAACCCUGAGCGUGCUUCCGAUACGGGCAGACUAGAGGUAUGCAGGGGAGAACGGAAUUCCUGGUGUAGCGGUGGAAUGCGCAGAUAUCAGGAGGAACACCGGUGGCGAAGGCGGUUCUCUGGGCAUGAUCUGACGCUGAGGAGCGAAGGUGUGGGGAGCGAACAGG
rnacentral:rRNA from 1 species